GCACUACGGUGCUGAAGCAACAAAUGCCCUGCUUCCAGGAAAAGCCUCUAAGCAUCAGGUAACAUCAAAUCGUACCCCAAACCGACACAGGUGGUCAGGUAGAGAAUACCAAGGCGCUUGAGAGAACUCGGGUGAAGGAACUAGGCAAAAUGGUGCCGUAACUUCGGGAGAAGGCACGCUGACACGUAGGUGAAGUGAUUUACUCAUGGAGCUGAAGUCAGUCGAAGAUACCAGCUGGCUGCAACUGUUUAUUAAAAACACAGCACUGUGCAAACACGAAAGUGGACGUAUACGGUGUGACGCCUGCCCGGUGCCGGAAGGUUAAUUGAUGGGGUCAGCGCAAGCGAAGCUCCUGAUCGAAGCCCCGGUAAACGGCGGCCGUAACUAUAACGGUCCUAAGGUAGCGAAAUUCCUUGUCGGGUAAGUUCCGACCUGCACGAAUGGCGUAAUGAUGGCCAGGCUGUCUCCACCCGAGACUCAGUGAAAUUGAACUCGCUGUGAAGAUGCAGUGUACCCGCGGCAAGACGGAAAGACCCCGUGAACCUUUACUAUAGCUUGACACUGAACAUUGAGCCUUGAUGUGUAGGAUAGGUGGGAGGCUUUGAAGUGUGGACGCCAGUCUGCAUGGAGCCGACCUUGAAAUACCACCCUUUAAUGUUUGAUGUUCUAACGUGGACCCGUUACCCGGGUUGCGGACAGUGUCUGGUGGGUAGUUUGACUGGGGCGGUCUCCUCCUAAAGAGUAACGGAGGAGCACGAAGGUUGGCUAAUCCUGGUCGGACAUCAGGAGGUUAGUGCAAUGGCAUAAGCCAGCUUGACUGCGAGCGUGACGGCGCGAGCAGGUGCGAAAGCAGGUCAUAGUGAUCCGGUGGUUCUGAAUGGAAGGGCCAUCGCUCAACGGAUAAAAGGUACUCCGGGGAUAACAGGCUGAUACCGCCCAAGAGUUCAUAUCGACGGCGGUGUUUGGCACCUCGAUGUCGGCUCAUCACAUCCUGGGGCUGAAGUAGGUCCCAAGGGUAUGGCUGUUCGCCAUUUAAAGUGGUACGCGAGCUGGGUUUAGAACGUCGUGAGACAGUUCGGUCCCUAUCUGCCGUGGGCGCUGGAGAACUGAGGGGGGCUGCUCCUAGUACGAGAGGACCGGAGUGGACGCAUCACUGGUGUUCGGGUUGUCAUGCCAAUGGCACUGCCCGGUAGCUAAAUGCGGAAGAGAUAAGUGCUGAAAGCAUCUAAGCACGAAACUUGCCCCGAGAUGAGUUCUCCCUGAGACUUUAGGUCUCCUGAAGGAACGUUGAAGACGACGACGUUGAUAGGCCGGGUGUGUAAGCGCAGCGAUGCGUUGAGCUAACCGGUACUAAUGAACCGUGAGGCUUAACCUUACAACGCCGAA
rnacentral:rRNA from 1 species